UGUGAUUUCACAUGUGUUAAUAAGUUAAAUGCAAUGAGUUUGAUAACUUUUGUGACGUUCGGAUUUAUCGAUAAAUGAAUGAAUGAACGUGACGUUACGCGUUAGUCA